CCAUCAGUUGGAGAAUAGCUGAAUAAAUUGUGGCAUAUGAAUAUUAUGGAAUAUUAUUGUUCUGUAAGAAAUGACCAACAGGAAGAUUUCAGAAAGGCCUGGAGAGACUUACAUGAACUGAUGCUGAGUGAAAUAAGCAGGGCCAAGAGAUCAUUAUAUACUUCAAGAACAAUAUUAUAUAAUGACCAAUUCUGAUGGACUUGGCCAUCUUCAACAAUGUGAUCAACCAAAUCACUUCCAAUGGAGCAGUAAUGAACUGAACCAGCUACGCCCAGCGAAAGAACUCUGGGAGAUGACUAAGAACCAUUACAUUGAAUUCCCAAUCUCCAUAUUUUUGCCCACCUGCAUUUUUGAUUUCCUUCACAGGCUAAUUGUACAAUAUUUCAGAGUCUGAUUCUUUUUGUACAGCAAAAUAACGGUUUGGUCCUGUAUACUUAUUGUGUAUCUAAUUUAUACUUUAAUAUAUUUAACAUCUACUGGUCAUCUUGCCAUCUGGGGGAGCAGGUGGGGGAAAGUGGGGGAAAACUGGAACAAUAGGUUUGGCAAUUGUCAAUGCUGUAAAGUUACCCAUACAUAUAACCUGUAAAUAAAAGGCUAUUAAAUAAAAAAAAAGAAAAAGAAAAGAAAAAAGAAAUGACCAGCAGGAUGAAUACAGACAGGCUUGGAGAGACUUACAUGAACUGAUACUAAGUGAAAUGAGCAGAACCAGGAGAUUAUAUACUUCAACAACGAUACUGUAUGAAGAUGUAUUCUGAUGGAAGUGUAUUUCAUUGACAAAGAGAAGAUCUAAUUCAGUUUCAAUUGAUCAAUGAUGGACAGAAGCAGCUACACCCAAAGAAAGAACACUGGGAAAUGAAUGUAAACUGUUUGCAUUUUUGUUUUUCUUCCCGGGUUAUUUUUAUCUUCUGAAUCCAAUUCUUCCUAUGCAAUAAGAAAACUGUUCGUUUCUGCACACAUAUAUUGUAUCUAGGAUAUACUGUGACAUAUUUAAGAUGUAUAGGACUGCUUGCCAUCUGGGGAGGGGUGGAGGGAAGGAGGGAAAAGUUGGAACAGAAGUGAGUACAAGGGAUAAUGUUGUAAAAAAAAAAAAUUACUGACCAACAAGAUGAUUUCAGAAAGGCCUGGAGAGACUUACACGAACUGAUGCUGAGUGAAAUGAGCAGGACCAGGAGAUCAUUAUAUACUUCAACAAUUACUAUAUGAUGACCAGUUCUGAUGGACCUGGCCAUCCUCAGCAAGAUCAACCAAAG
rnacentral:lncRNA from 1 species